UCGAGAAUGAUUAAUAGUGGGCUUAUUUGUGUGGGUUUAAUUUAUUUUUCCAUGGCCCAAAUUGCUCACAUUUCGCAAAAACCUAAUCUUCCUCCCAACUGAUUAAUCGUCUCCGGCCCUUCCUCUCCGUCGUUAUCGUUUCACUUCUGAGUCAUUUAACAUUUUCUUUACUCCUUCUUCCUUUAUGGUUUCAUUCCAACUCCCUACGUUUCUCCUCCUAUAUAAAGUCUUUCGUAUCAACCAAAAAUCUACAGCCUCGCGGAAAAAGACAAAACUACUGCUGCUAAAUCCACCACACUCUCCCAUCUACAGCUGUGCAGCCGGGGAGGUUUCAUGCAGUGGUUCCAUGGUCGGUGCUUUAGUGGCUACCUCCAACUGGUUUACUGAUGGCAGCCAGGGUUUGCAAACAAUGACAGAGACAGAGGAAGAUGUGGAAAUCUGCGGAGGAGUAGGGUUCCGAACGGAGCUCAAAGUGUUCAUAUCAGCUUCCUAAGUUCCUCAAACCGGCGUUCCAGGCGUCCGUCACUUAACCUUCGAGUCUCUCCGUCUUGGUCGUAGCAGUCAGAGCAUAGUCUCAAACCUCCUCGCUUCUGGGAUUCCCUGAACUUCAAGAAAGACAGUGAGUUUAUGGGAAUCACGGUUCUCUUCCUUGAUGAAAAGAUUCCGUGAUUCAUGGGUUUAUUCCCGUCGGACGUGCUAAUCAUUACAUGCAAUCUUUGAAAUCUGGUUUCAUUGUGAAAGUCGAUCGAUUUGAGUUUGCUAGGUGCUCAAGCAUGUACAAGAUAACUGACCAUCCAUCUUCAUUUGUUUCAUCUCACCAACUAUUAUUGAUGAAGUCAUCACGAGUGCUCCUGAGAUCAAUCUCCAGUCAUAAUUAGACGGUUCAACAAUUUGCAAGUGAUUGCGAACACAAACCUAGAACUCCCAAGUAUAUUAUCAUAUUGCAUCUGAGUUUAUAUUAUGUUUCGAUAUCAUAACUGAUAUUUAAACUCGCAGAUGUGGUUAGGUAAAUCUGUUCUAUCCAGGGCUCUGACCUUACCAAAGAAACAAUUCGAGUCGUUAUCCGUCUCCUCAUUGAUCCGUAAGAAACAAUCAACACACAAUUCCCUUUAUAUUAUUAUCUAUAUUGUGCUAACAUCAAUAAUCAAAAAUAUUUCCUACCCAAAAUCUGUGGUCGUCUAUUUAUCUCUCUUACUUAUCAAACUAAUUUUACACAAACCUUUAUUUUACAACUUAAAAGAAACCACAACAACCCAAACAAUCAAAACACCAAAAACUAGAAUUCCAAAAGAGACGAAUCAUUAAUGACCACCUCUCUUUUUUGUUUAAUCUUAGAAAUAAACUUCAAAACAAAUAUACCAAACCAAUCACUUCAACUAAAAUUCAACGACACAUACAUCGAGUCAGCUAAACAAAUACACACUACACGACCAGCUAUUUAACAAUUUACAAACUUACUUUCGUAACGAAGACGACAACCAAGAUCAGUGAAAUUACCUAAACAAAAAAGGAGAGUAAGUUACGAAUUCUGAUAAAUACAACUAACAAUGAUUUUUGUUUACAUAUUACCCAUCAAAUAAAAGAUAAACAAACACAUGCACAUCAGGAGAUACAAGAGUCAAUCCCAACAGACACAAAGGCGGCAACAACAUCUCUACCUGCUCACUCAUCUUGUCUUAUAAAAAUAGCUUACAUGCCCAAUGUCAAGACGCCAAUGUUAUUGUAUUCUUAUGAGAAAUACAUAAAUCCGUUUAAAACCCAUUAAGGCCCAAAUACUCAGAACUGUCACUCAUUUUAUAGCUAUUUCUACAAGUUUUCAAGUAUUUGUUUUAAAGGUCCGGUAAGAGCAACAAGUUUAAAAAUAAAAUAAAAACAUAUAACAAUAAUAAUAAGGAUAAUAAAAAUUAUUACUUAAUACACACAAUUUACACAACUAAACUGUAGAAAAAAUAUCCAGAAACAAAAGGUACUUUCAACAAUUUUAAUAUACUUUAUGUUCUCUCAGCAGUACAAAAAAACAAAUUAAAAAGACAAACAAACAAUAAGUCUCAGUGACACAACAAACAACAUCACGAACUAUAUCAAUCACAUUACUAACACAGUUUAGUCCUUCAUAAAUGGAGAACAAUGCAUACACAGUUCAUCAUCACAACUCUAACCCUAUAACAAUAAAAAAAACUUAAAAACAACUCAAAACGCAAAUUCACAACUACAAUAACCCUAGCAAAUAUUGAGAUGAAACAAAAACUCUGUCCACAACUCCGCGCUUGCGUGGAGGCAAUGCCCCUAGUAUAUAUAUAUAUACAAACUUUAAAAUACCCAAUACAAAUAUUAAAUCUAUAUUAUAAUAGAUCAGUUUUUGCUCACUCCUCAGCGCGCCACGUCAUCGUUUUGUGGGCCCCACUUUUAAAAAGUGUAAAAAGUGUCAAGCUCAUGGCUCGAACCCGGGUUAUUGAGAUAUAAACACCAACAUUUAUACCACUAAGCUAACUGAUACCUUUGUACAUUGAUGGCCGAACCUAAUAUAUAUUUAUGAAGGUCGGAAGCCCUUGCUUCUUCGGCUUCCUCUGAAGGUCGGACCUACAAGUGUGUUAUGGUUUUAUUUUUAAAUGGGAUUCAUCACGUUAUAUGAAAAAAGCUUAAGUUUGCAACAAUUAUGGUUUUCCUAUAUUGUAAACUGUUGUAGUUUAAUAUGGGUUCUUUUCAUCAUUGUCUCAAACAAGUCUGAGUUACAGAGUUGCGCCGUGUAUAUGUUCGUAAUCUAUUUUUUCACCGGUGAACUCUUCAUGUCCCCAUCUUAAAUCGCCUGAUCAUAAAUGUUCCUGAUUUGUAUCCCCUAUGUAAACCAUAUAUAUAUGAUUCUCAUCUUUGAUGAACUCAAUCUGCAUCUCCACAAAACUCAUUGAUUCCUCUUAGCUUUAACCAUCUUCUAGAAAAUGUUUCUCUCUGCCUCUCCAAUUCGUCAAACCGGCGUCCCGACAUCCGUCACUCAACCUUCGAGUCUCUCCGUCUUGGUCUUAGUAGUCAGAGCAUAGCCUCUGGCUUCCUCCGCUUAUGGGAUUCCCUGAACUUCAAGAAAGACAGGGAGUUUGUGGGAAUCACGGUUCUUUUCCUCGAUGAAAAGAUAAGUUAAUCUUCGAUCUAUCACACUUAUUUAACAUAAUAGUUUUAAUUUAUUUCCUGAUUCUUUGUUGGAUACUAUUUGCAGAUUCCGUGAUUCAUGGGUUUACUCCCGUCGGACAUGCUAAUCAUUACAUGCCAUCUUUGAAAGCAGAUUCCAUUGUGAAAGUCGAUCGUUUUGAGGUUGCUAGGUGCUCCAAGUGAUUGCGAACACAAACCUAGAAAUUGGUAAACAUAGCAUAUUUGGCAGCUCCAAGCAAGAUUACAAUCAGGCAAAUUCAAGUGGAAUGACAUACCAACAACUGAAACUGCCUCUGUCAUGGAUAGCUCUCUCCCAAGGAUUGCAUUGACUAUGGUUUCUGGGAAGAAAAAGAUCUUGCUCCUGAAAAAAGACCGUGACAACCCUGUUGUAAGAUUUUAGUUUGUGCAGAACAAAAAACCUUGAUUUAUUUUCUAUUUAGUAUAGUGAUAGUUGUUGACAAUCAUUAGUUAUUUGCCAAUAUGUUUUUUAUGCGGCAUUUCAGAACUCUUCAUUCCAAGCGGAACAGCAGAUGGAAGCUAAUUUUUUUGGAAGCUCCUCGACUUCAAGACAGAAUCAGAAGAUAGAUGUUGGUGGGAGCUUAAUCAAGGGAAUACUUCAGAGAAGUGAGACGGCCUAGCCAGACUUCAUCUAUUGUACAGCCUGAGCAAAGAGUGGAACCCACAAAACACGAGAGAAAAAAAAUCAAAACACGAAAUUAACAUAUUCAGAUCUUCUCUCUUGCAUGUCUAACAUCUGACGCCGACGAAACUCAACACACACGGCAGACGAAUCUGAUGCAAGUAAACCUCUCAUCAAUCAUGCUUAAAAUCAAUCUACGAUUUUCAAUCUCACAAACUAAAAAACAAUUUUACCUACAUGAAUCGGAAAAUUAGUGCCCACAUUCCCGACAUAGAGAAAAAAAGGAGUUGUCACUAGAGCAAACAACUACCUAAGUAAACACUAACAAGUUCCAUCACCCUCAACUUUGAACAUAUAAGAUAUAAAAAUAUCAACAUAUGACUUCGUCGUUCAUUCUUAUAUCAAACUCAUCAACCUAUAAUAUCCAAAAUCUCAUCAAUCACAUUAUAGACAAAAAACAAUAAAAUCCCGUAAACAAAACUAUACAAUACACCUAUAAUGUAGCCGCGGAGACUAUGCACCUAGUUCUUUUUAAUGAGGGGGAAUCUUCUAUCGGGAGGAAAAUAAAUAAAUGAGGGGAAAAGUAAGAAAUAAUGUGAUUGGUCGAUGUCAAAAAACAUGGAUCAGUCCUUCUCGUGUCCUAUUGGUUAAUAUAAUGAGUGGAAGGAUCACAAUUUGGAUUGAAUCUAAUGGUCCAGAUUAAUAUUUUUGUGUUUCUUCCUCCCUCAUCUUUCUUCUCUAUCUCUUUCUCUCUCACACGAUUCUCUUUACUUCUCCUUUCUUCCAUGUCUUCUCUGUCUAGUACUUCUCUUGACCUGUCUUCUUGCUGGACGCCAUCGGAGCUUCUCGGCGUAGUGAUAGAAGAGGCAGAGGAGAUUGAUGGAGGAGGAGUUAGCAGAGGUGGUGGUGGCUCGUGACUCGUGUGCAGAACCGGCUUGAAGGGUGAAGAAGAAGAAGCUACGGUGAGGAAGCAGAAGAAGCGUGUGUGUUGAGUUUUGUCCGUUACACCGGUGGCUCCAGAAGCAGAUCGAGUCGCCACUUCAGACGUAGCAUCCGGAGCCAGUGGAGGUGUCUGUGGUGAAGCCGGUGGCGGAACCGGUGGUGGAGUCGGUGGUUGAGCCUGUGUAUAUAUUUGUGUGUAUAUAUGUAUAUAUUCAUAAUUUGUAACUUAAUUAAUAAAAAAAUAUUUUUAUGCAUUUUUGAAUUUUUUGUUUAAUAUAUAUAUUUUUAAAAAGACAUACUUUUGCUACGAUUUGUUUCGUAGCUAAAUUAGCCACGAAAAUUUCAUAGCAAAAACGUAGCAAAAAAGCUACGAAAAUAUUUGUAACAACGCCGUAGCAAAAUUUGAUACGAUUGAUUUUGGCUACGAUCGUAUAGCUACGAUUUGAUUUUCGUAGCAUUCCGUAGCUUUUUCUCUAUAUAGCUACAAAAUUUAGAUUAUAGCUACAAAAAAGUAACGUGGCUAUAAUGAUAUUUUUUACUAGUGGUUGAAGCUUUUGCAUCUGUUGAUAAAUUCAUCGAAACCAGUGGUGGAGAUUCUGCUGAUAACAACAGUUGGAUUUUAUAUGGCUUUUGAUGGAGUCAAUUUUCUUGGUCAUGAUAAUUAAGAAAUAUUUGAACAGCGUUGGUUAUUACUUAAUUAACUCUUUCUAUUUAUAAAUCUAACAUACAACUCAACUUUAAUUUUUUUUUUAUCUAUAGAUUGUCUUCUAUGUGUUUUGUCCUUCGCUAUUGGAAACCGUUUAGCUGGUAGCGUAACAUAUGAAAGCUUGGUGAACAUGUAACUCACCUGAAUUUUUCCAUUAGGAGUUUAGAUCUUUUCUCUCAGGUUCUUCGUACCUGUUAAUAUUCUUUUCACAUUCGUCAUUGUUUCCUUAUUAAGCUGGGUUGUAUUCUCAUCACUAAGCCUCCUUCGCCUACAUCUUCGUGGUCUCAUUGUUGGUUGAUGUGCGGCUUGUAAAAAAUCUGGGAAUAUACCAUCAAUCAUAAUCCCAACUGUUUAUAAAGACAAAGGAGAGGUCUAUUUGAAGAUCCUGAGAAUUGCCACAAAUAUGGAAUGGGUUAUGUUGCACUCUCCAUGGCCGUAAGUAGUCAUCUUACUUCUUCAAGAUUUUAUCGGUGUAUAUUUUAUUUUUGGCAUCAGCCACCAGAUAUACAUAUAUGAUACAGCUAUACAAUGAAGAAAUAAUAAUUUUCAAUUCAUAUAUUUUGUUUUCAAAAAGAAUUAUAACAAUCUUAGUUGUAAAACAGAUGUAGCUGAGAUUUUGUAACAUAACACAAUUCCCCAAAAUCACCAAGAACCCUUAUUGUUGCGCACCUGAAAGAAUAGUUGAUCACGAGUAUGUUUCAGUGAAAAUCAUAAACCUUCUUUCUGUAAAAGAAAAUAACAACCCUUUGAAGACUCUGUUUGCGAAGUUGCAGUCGAGUGCUUUGGUUUGGAGAUUUGAAUUACAGAGUUUCUUUAGCCUAUUAAGAGAUGAGUAUUUCUAGAGACAAUGAUUGUGACACACUUCUUGAAAAAGACCAGGUUUUGUAGUAGAAAUUAUCUUAAAAACUCAAAUCUUUAUUGAAGACCAGGAUGAGUGUUUCUCUCGAAACUCAGAUUCUCACGCCGGAGAAGCCACUAAGUCAGAAAAAUUAUGUACUUAUGCUUGGUUGGUACUAUCCAAAACUCUAGAAACACGUUUUUGUGGUGUGUUUGGAAUGUUUUCAGGUUUGAUCAGAUUCCAUGAGGAGGAGAAGGAAUAGAACUUUCUUAUACUCUAGGAGAAUCACGGUUUUCAGAUCACAGACCGGUUUGUGCAAAUAUUUGUAGGAGAAGUUGUUGUGAAGAGUCUGAGAAACAUAGAUAAUGUUAUUCAUGUGCGGCUGCAAGAUUGGUUGAGGAUUGCACUCCAAACUCAUAGUUUUAACUAAGAUUAUUAUAGUUCUUUUUGAGAACAAAAUAUAUGAUUUUUUAAUAGUAAAUUUUCCUCAUUGUGUAUGGUUAAUUUUUGGCAUCAGCCGUCACGAUACAUAUAUGUACUUCAAUGUUAUCAGAUGAGAUCUGUUUACAUAUGAAGUUAUUGACACUCAACUUUCCAUUGAAUCCAACUAUGACACCUGCAAAGUCC